CAAGAAUGCAAGCAGGCUCUGGCUUGCUUUAACAUCAGGCCCAGUGUUCCUGGCCUGAACUAUAAAACUCCUCCAUCUUCAGUGGGUGAGGAGACUAUUUCCACAGUACACAAAAAUAUCUCUGGCAACAAUAGUAGCAGUCAUUCCUUUGCUCAUCUGCAAGCCACGUGGUGUGGCGUGUGGGAGCAGCCGCCAUCUUACCUCUGGCUGGGGAAGCCGCUGGAUGUCGCCUGUGGGGAGUGUCCGCCAUUUUGUUUGUGUUCCUGGUGGUGAACACUUUCUGUCUAUUCUUUCAUCUAGAGAAAAAUCUUUCUGUACUCUGAAGUUUUGUAUUGGAGAUAGCUAUCCUAAACUCUAUAAGGAACCAGAAGACCACGUGUCAUGCAAAUGAACCCAGACUCCACUUUCUUUCAACAAACAGGACAUUCCCUUAAUAGCACUGCCACUUCACAGAAUCACAGAAUCAAAGAAUCAUGGAAUUGUUUAGGUUGGAAAACCUAAGAUCAUUGAGUUCAAUCAUUACCUGAUCACUGCCAAGGCUACCACUAAACCAUAUCUCUUAGUGACCCAUCUACAUGUUUUAAACCCUACCAGGGAUGGUCUCAGACUCUACAAACCUCUGUAGACCUAUGUAAUGUUCUGUCUCUGUGGUGUCUCUUCCUUUCACAUGAGAAUGGUUUGCUUUCCACCUUUAGCUUCUGUGGUAACAUGCCUCUUCUUCUCAGUGUCAAGCUCUGUCUCAUGCUGUUGCACAGGCUGUCCCCUCAUUAUUCACUAUUUGCUCAUAUCCAUGCUUUUUCCCCUCUGUUGCAACAAUCUGUAACUGCAUGGAAGUCAUGGACUCAGACACUCACAUCUACUUGCACUGCAUUCUCUCUUUGUCCUGUGCAAAUCCCUACAUAUUCAGCAUUUAUGUAUUUUCCCUUGUCUGCACAAACAAGUAUUUAUUUACACAGAAGCCACAUGGAGGAAGUUUGCCGAAGAUUUUAUAUGCAUCCACUAAUUCAGUUUCACAUGAAACAGAGUGCAAGAAGUAGCAAAAUGGGAAGCUUUGUUUUGAAGAGAUCUUGUAACUUUUCCAUUCAUAGUUUAAUGGUACCAUCCUUGGGAAUGUGUCCUUGAUUCAGAAUGCCAUGCAUAGAGAGAAGCACCUGAUUUUGUGAUACUUCAUGGAGGAGAAGAUGGAGCAUGGACAAAUGCCAGACCUGGUGAGAUAGAGAUGCUUGAUUUGAUAGGUACCUUCCAGGUGUUCCAGAAAAAGAAGUAUCUGUGUCCUGUUCUUCUGAGUCUUGAUGUUGUGGUUUUUCUAUGAGUAGCUGGCAUCUAAUUCCUGGAGCAUUGUGUUUUCUGUGGGUUUCUUUUCUUUUUCCUUUCUGUCCCACUUACAAGGGAGCUAUAAAAGCUCCCACAGGAUGCUCCAGAUAGUCUGAAAAAUAAAUGCAGAGGGAUGCACAACAUUCAACAUUUAACAAAGAUCUGUUUUGCCUUCUAAUUUCUGUUUAAAGAAGCAACAAAUCCUUAAAACAAGACUGCCAAGCUCAUUAUUCUCAGCUUUCCCUCAGGCACAUGCUGUGUGGGUGGGAAAAAUUACAUUUCAUAGUCUGAUGCUGGCUACUUUCUUUCUCUCCCUUAGCUUGCCUCCAUCCUUUCUUAGGGUUUUAUCAGACCAAGGUGA